GUGGCGUGUUGCGGUAUGCUGUGAAGACCCGGGGGCUAAACUCCGGUUCUGCAGUGGAUACGGGCAUGCUAGAAGGUAGGUAGGGGAGACUGGAAUUCCUGUGUAGCGGUGAAAUGCGCAGAUAUCAGGAGGAACACCGGUGGCGAAGGCGGGUCUCUGGGCCUUACCUGACGCUGAGGAGCGAAAGCAUGGGGAGCGAACAGGAUUAGAUACCCUGGUAGUCCAUGCCGUAAACGUUGGGCGCUAGGUGUGGGGACUUUCCACGGUUUCCGCGCCGUAGCUAACGCAUUAAGCGCCCCGCCUGGGGAGUACGGCCGCAAGGCUAAAACUCAAAGGAAUUGACGGGGGCCCGCACAAGCGGCGGAGCAUGUUGCUUAAUUCGACGCAACGCGAAGAACCUUACCAAGGUUUGACAUCACCCGUGGACUCGCAGAGAUGUGAGGUCAUUUAGUUGGCGGGUGACAGGUGGUGCAUGGCUGUCGUCAGCUCGUGUCGUGAGAUGUUGGGUUAAGUCCCGCAACGAGCGCAACCCUUGUUCCAUGUUGCCAGCACGUAAUGGUGGGGACUCAUGGGAGACUGCCGGGGUCAACUCGGAGGAAGGUGGGGAUGACGUCAAGUCAUCAUGCCCCUUAUGUCUUGGGCUGCAAACAUGCUACAAUGGCCGGUACAAUGGGCGUGCGAUACCGUAAGGUGGAGCGAAUCCCUAAAAGCCGGUCUCAGUUCGGAUUGGGGUCUGCAACUCGACCCCAUGAAGGUGGAGUCGCUAGUAAUCGCGGAUCAGCAACGCCGCGGUGAAUACGUUCCCGGGCCUUGUACACACCGCCCGUCACGUCAUGAAAGUCGGCAACACCCGAAACUUGCGGCCUAACCCCUUGUGGGAGGGAGUGAG
rnacentral:rRNA from 1 species